rnacentral:rRNA from 1 species
AUACGGAGGAUGCGAGCGUUAUCCGGAUUUAUUGGGUUUAAAGGGUGCGUAGGCUGUUUGUCAAGUCAGGGGUGAAAUACCUGGGCUCAACCGAGGAAUUGCCUUUGAUACUGGCAGGCUUGAAUCCUGUUGCCGCGGGAGGAAUGAGUAGUGUAGCGGAGAAAUGCAUAGAUAUUACUCAGAACACCGAUUGCGAAGGCAUCUCACGAAACAGCGAUUGACGCUGAGGCACGAAAGCGUGGGGAUCAAACAGGAUUAGAUACCCUGGUAGUCCACGCAGUAAACGAUGAUAACUAACCGUUGGCGAUAGACAGUCAGUGGCCAAGCGAAAGCGAUAAGUUAUCCACCUGGGGAGUACGACCGCAAGGUUGAAACUCAAAUGAAUUGACGGG